GACGAACCGUGCGAACGCUGUUCGGAAUCACUGGGCUUAAAGGGCGCGUAGGCGGGCCUGCAAGUCGGAGGUGAAAGCCCGCAGCUCAACUGCGGAAGUGCCCCCGAUACUGUGGGUCUCGAGGGAGGUAGGGGCGUGCGGAACUUCCGGUGGAGCGGUGAAAUGCGUAGAUAUCGGAAGGAACACCGGUGGCGAAAGCGGCGCGCUGGACCUCUUCUGACGCUGAGGCGCGAAAGCCAGGGGAGCAAACGGG
rnacentral:rRNA from 1 species